rnacentral:rRNA from 1 species
UACGUAGGUGGCGAGCGUUGUCCGGAUUUACUGGGUGUAAAGGGCGUGUAGGCGGGAUUGUAAGUCAGAUGUGAAAUUCCGAAGCUUAACUUCGGACCUGCAUCUGAAACUAUGAUUCUUGAGUGCUGGAGAGGAAAGCGGAAUUCCUAGUGUAGCGGUGAAAUGCGUAGAUAUUAGGAGGAACACCAGUGGCGAAGGCGGCUUUCUGGACAGUAACUGACGCUGAGGCGCGAAAGCGUGGGGAGCAAACAGGAUAGAUACCCUGGUAGUCCACGCUGUAAACGAUGGAUACUAGGUGUAGGGGGUAUCGACCCCUUCUGUGCCGCAGUUAACACAAUAAGUAUCCCACCUGGGGAGUACGGCCGCAAGGUUGAA